AACGAACGCUGGCGGCAGGCCUAACACAUGCAAGUCGAGCGAGCAUUUCGGUGCUAGCGGCGGACGGGUGAGUAACGCGUGGGAACGUGCCCUUUUCUGCGGAAUAGUCCUGGGAAACUGGGGGUAAUACCGCAUACGCCCUUUUGGGGAAAGAUUUAUCGAAGAAGGAUCGGCCCGCGUUGGAUUAGGUAGUUGGUGGGGUAAUGGCCCACCAAGCCGACGAUCCGUAGCUGGUUUGAGAGGAUGAUCAGCCACACUGGGACUGAGACACGGCCCAGACUCCUACGGGAGGCAGCAGUGGGGAAUCUUAGACAAUGGGGGCAACCCUGAUCUAGCCAUGCCGCGUGAGUGAUGAAGGCCUUAGGGUUGUAAAGCUCUUUCAGCUGGGAAGAUAAUGACGGUACCAGCAGAAGAAGCCCCGGCUAACUCCGUG
rnacentral:rRNA from 1 species